rnacentral:rRNA from 1 species
UAGCAUAUCAAUAAGCGCAGGAAAAGAAACCAACAGGGAUUGCCUCAGUAACGGCGAGUGAAGCGGCAACAGCUCAAAUUUGAAAUCUGGCCUCUCGGGGUCCGAGUUGUAAUUUGUAGAGGAUGUUUCGGGUACCGCCUCGGUUUAAAUUUCUUGGAACAGAAUGUCAAAGAGGGUGAGAAUCCCGUCUUGGACCGGCGGUAGGGCCUAUGUGAAACUCCUUCGACGAGUCGAGUUGUUUGGGAAUGCAGCUCAAAAUGGGUGGUAAAUUUCAUCUAAAGCUAAAUAUUGGCCAGAGACCGAUAGCGCACAAGUAGAGUGAUCGAAAGAUGAAAAGCACUUUGAAAAGAGAGUUAAACAGUAUGUGAAAUUGUUGAAAGGGAAGCGCUUGCAACCAGACUUGAGCGCGGCGGUUCCCCCUUGCUUCUGCUUGGGUUACUCCGCCGUGUCCAGGCCAACAUCGGUUCUGGGGGUCGGUCAAAGGCCUUGGGAAUGUAUCUACCCACGGGUAGACUUAUAGACCAGGGUGUCAUGCGACCUCCCGGGACCGAGGAACGCGCUUCGGCUCGGAUGUUGGCGUAAUGGUUGUCAGCGACCCGUCUUGAAACACGGACCAAGGAGUCUAACAUCUAUGCGAGUGUUUGGGUGUCAAACCCGGAACGCGGAAUGAAAGUGAACGGAGGUAGGAAGCUUCGGCUGCACUAUCGACCGAUCCUGAAGUUUACGGAUGGAUUUGAGUAAGAGCAUAGCUGUUGGGACCCGAAAGAUGGUGAACUAUGCCUGAAUAGGGUGAAGCCAGAGGAAACUCUGGUGGAGGCUCGCAGCGGUUCUGACGUGCAAAUCGAUCGUCAAAUUUAGGUAUAGGGGCGAAAGACUAAUCGAACCAUCUGGUAGCUGGUCUGC